CUUUACUAUAACUUCGUAUUGACUUUGAAUAAACAAUGUGUAGGAUAGGUGGGAGACUUUGAAGCUGGCACGCUAGUGUCGGUGGAGUCAACGUUGAAAUACCACCCUUUGUUUAUUUGGAGCCUAACUUCCUAACGGAAGGACAUUGCGUGGUGGGUAGUUUGACUGGGGUGGUCGCCUCCAAAAGAGUAACGGAGGCUUUCAAAGGUACCCUCAGCACGCUUGGUAACCGUGCGUAGAGUGUAAUGGCAUAAGGGUGCUUGACUGUGAGACCUACAAGUCGAUCAGGUGCGAAAGCAGGACAUAGUGAUCCGGUGGUUCCGUAUGGAAGGGCCAUCGCUCAUAGGAUAAAAGGUA
rnacentral:rRNA from 1 species